rnacentral:misc_RNA from 1 species
AUUAUAACUGGGGAGCCCAAAACGUUUGGAGAGAAUCUUUCUUGAUGGGUUUAUGGAAAAACACACUCAUAAUCUUGACACUAUAUUUAACUCAAAACUUUAACGUAUUGGGUUUUUGAGUCUUAUUUACUUAUAUGUCUCUCACUCAUCUCAUCUUUGUUCGAUGUGGGAAUUCCACACUUACAUUUUUCCAAUAAUAUCCCCCCCAAGUGUGAAUUUCUUCUUCAUUAGGCUUACUUGGCCUGCUAUCUCUCAAAAAGAAGCCUUUUUUCUUAACUCAAGAAUUACAGUGUCACCAAAAGUCUCAAUUACUUCACCAAACCCAUUCGAGCAUGCCAAAGUCGUCACGUGUUCUGCUAUCACAUGUGCUAAGAAUCUCUACUCCAUUGAUUUGCUCUUCUCCAUAAGAGUGUCUUUCUGCUCCAUUGGUCUACCAAUAGUCUCCCAACUCUUCCCUUCCAUGUAUUAGAACACCACAGGAAUCAUUGACCACCAUCUCUAUACUCGUCCUCACUAAUCAAGCGCCUGUGUCGAUUGUAAUGCUUCUCCAAAAAUACUUUCGAAGCUCCCUCUAAUGUCUUUCGCCAUGUCUUUUCAAUGGAGAUCAAGAUUGACUUGUUCUUGAUAUCCCUAGCUCUAAGCUGAGAUCUCCCAAUCCCAAGUUGCCUAAGCAAAACAGACUUCCUAGAGAGCUGAGGAAGAAGAGAUCUUCUCUCCACUAAGGUGGUAGUAAUGUAAUGAGAAGGACUCUCACAUGAUGUUGAAUAUUCCUUAUUCCUAGUCUUGCUUCUUUUUCGCAUCUUUGCCUCCGCAGCAGUCUCAUCUUCCCCUAAUUCUGCAAAUUUCCUCAGAAGCUCAUCCGAAGAUUUCUUGGUCACACGUUGAACUGUGGCGGUUGUAGUGUUAGUUGCAUCAGCAGCAGCAGUAGUAUCCAUUUUAGGUAGCGGAAAAGGAAGAAGAGCCAGAGCGGGAGAGACUUAGAGAAGGAGAGAGAGAGAGAUGUAAGGGUGACGGAAA